UGUUUGUGAACCACAACGGGAGCUGUUUAAUUGUUUUGAACGCUCGUCUGUGUUUGUGUCCCUCGUGUGAAGUGUGAACAGUUUGUGCAUGUGUCUGUGCGUGCAGUACGUGUGCCAUUCCCGGUGUGUAAUGUGUGCUAGCGAUACGAUGCAGUUCUUUCCAGCAAAAAGUGUCGUGCAACACUGCAGCAACAAUGUGAAAAAUGUAAAAUUCCAAAACACCGUGGUGAAAUGCGAGCAGUUUUAAAAAAGCAAAGAAAGUGAAGAAAAAAACCCGUGAAAAGCACCAAAAUAAAAUACAAAGCGAAAAGUGGAAGAAAGUGAAACCAAUGCUGUUGUUUCCUACCCCCCAAAAAGAAAAAAAAAGUUCCAAUCCAAACCUACCUGUGGCAACCAAAGUUUUAAAGUGAAAUAAUGUGCCGCAGAGCACCAACGCGGGCCAGAUUUGUGGAGCAGCAAGUGUGAAAGAAAAUGGUUCCAUAGUGUAAGAGAUACAAACAAGUGGUAGAGGUGGAAGUGUACUUAGCGUAAGAGUGAGGAAAAAUAUUCGAAACGUGUGAUGCGGUGCUAAAACAUGUCGCAACGUAACCCACGAAAGCAGUGCAACAUAGAGCAAGCAAAGUAGAUAACCAUCGUUCGUGUUCGGGCUUGACGUCAGCAGCGGCAGCAAAACUCCAUACACUCGAUAAGCAAUUCCAAGACUCUCGUUAGCAGAAUAAUAUUUUAUCUCGUCGUCGGUAACGCUCCUCGCCAGAACAACUGCAGAUAUUCUUCCGUGAAUCUCACCGAAUCUUCUUCCAUUCGACGGUUGUCAUGUCCUGCGCAAGAAUGAUCCCGAUGAGCUGUGUCGCGCAUGUAAACGCCUAUCGAAGCAGCACAUUGGUGAGCUUGCGGCUCGACCGCGUCCUGAAUCCGGACUGCAUAUGAACGUCUCUUGCUACGCUGGAGCCGAUCGAUAAGGAAGCAGCAGCAAGGCCCGUAGCCUUAAACGAAGUGCAAUAGCAGUAGUAGAAAGCGUGCACCAACCUUCUGCUAGAAGUAACAGCCACACUAUUUAACUCACAAUCAAUCGGAACUGCGAUGAAGGCAGUUGUAGAGUAGAGCAAAAUGGCCGUAGAAUUAAGUGACACGCUGAAUCUCUUUUGAAUUCGGGAAUGUAUUAAGACACUAGUCGACACGAGUUCGUUUCCUCGCGGUGUGUCAUCUGAAGGUGGAAUCUCCGUCAUCGAAUAGAGAGAUCGCAUAGGCGAGUAAAGCUGCAGUGUGUGGCAGCAGCAAACAUUGAAUCUCAACCCGCUUUGUUGAGACUCAUCGGAAAUCGUUUAAGAGUCCUUCCCUUUCCCACCCCCCACCUCCGUGUCCUUCCGGUUGGUCAUGUACCGUGUAAACAUCGUCAGCACAAAUCCGAGCGUGUCAGCGAGCAGUAGUAGCAGCAGCAGCGGUAGUAGUGGAACUGGAAGUGGCAGCGUCAGCAGUGCAAGCAACGUGAUCCUUCAGCAAGCGCCGCAAAUCCUCGG